rnacentral:rRNA from 1 species
GACGAACGCUGGCGGCGUGCUUAACACAUGCAAGUCGAACGGAAAGGCCCUGCUUUUGUGGGGUGCUCGAGUGGCGAACGGGUGAGUAACACGUGAGUAACCUGCCCUUGACUUUGGGAUAACUUCAGGAAACUGGGGCUAAUACCGGAUAGGAGCUCCUGCUGCAUGGUGGGGGUUGGAAAGUUUCGGCGGUUGGGGAUGGACUCGCGGCUUAUCAGCUUGUUGGGGGGGUAGUGGCUUACCAAGGCUUUGACGGGUAGCCGGCCGGAGGGGGGGACCGGCCACAUUGGGACUGAGAUACGGCCCAGACUCCUACGGGAGGCAGCAGUGGGGAAUAUUGCACAAUGGGCGGAAGCCUGAUGCAGCAACGCCGCGUGCGGGAUGACGGCCUUCGGGUUGUAAACCGCUUUCGCCUGUGACGAAGCGUGAGUGACGGUAAUGGGUAAAGAAGCACCGGCUAACUACGUG